AACGAACGCUGGCGGCAUGCCUAACACAUGCAAGUCGAACGAGACCUUCGGGUCUAGUGGCGCACGGGUGCGUAACGCGUGGGAACCUGCCCUUAGGUUCGGAAUAACUCCCCGAAAGGGGUGCUAAUACCGGAUAAUGUCUUCGGACCAAAGAUUUAUCGCCUUUGGAUGGGCCCGCGUUGGAUUAGCUAGUUGGUAGGGUAAAAGCCUACCAAGGCGACGAUCCAUAGCUGGUCUGAGAGGAUGAUCAGCCACACUGGGACUGGGACACGGCCCAGACUCCACCGGGGGGCAGCAGUGGGGAUAAUUGGACAUGGGGCGAAGGCCUGAUCCGCCAAGGCCGGGUGGGUGAGGAGGGCUUUGGGUUUGAAAGGCCCUUUACCCGGGAUGAUAAUGACAGUACCGGGAGAAUAAGCUCCGGCUAACUCCGUG
rnacentral:rRNA from 1 species